rnacentral:tRNA from 2 species
AAUCCGUCGACUUUAAAAAUCGUGAGGGUUCAAGUCCCUUUAUCCCCAAAAAG